rnacentral:misc_RNA from 1 species
UGGAAUUCUCUUGUGAUUGUUUCCUUGGUGGAGAAAGAUCAGCUGAUGAUCCUUUCAAAGAUCUCCUGGGAGGCGAAAGAUCACCAGCAGGAGACUCUCUAGCUCUAACAUUCUCUUGUAACUGACGGCGGCGAGGAGGAGAUAGGUCGCGCGCCACAGAUUCCCUACUCUUCCUCGGUGGAGAAAGGUCGACUGACGACCCCUUUGAAGAUCUUCUCGGGGGUGAAAG